UACGAAGGAUCCAAGCGUUGUCCGGAUUUACUGGGUUUAAAGGGUGCGUAGGCGGAUGAAUAAGUCAGUGGUGAAAGCUUGCAGCUUAACUGUAAAAUUGCCAUUGAAACUGUUCAUCUUGAGUGUGGUUGAGGUAGCUGGAAUAUAUCAUGUAGCGGUGAAAUGCUUAGAUAUGAUAUAGAACACCAAUUGCGAAGGCAGGCUACUAAACCAUUACUGACGCUGAGGCACGAAAGCGUGGGGAUCAAACAGGAUUAGAUACCCUGGUAGUCCACGCCCUAAACGUUGCAUACUCGACCUUAGCGAUAUAUUGUUAGGGUCUAAGCGAAAGCGUUAAGUAUGCCACCUGGGAAGUACGUUCGCAAGAAUG
rnacentral:rRNA from 1 species